rnacentral:rRNA from 1 species
UACGAUGGGAUGCAAGCGUUAUCCGGAAUUAUUGGGCGUAAAGCGUUUGUAGGCGGGCGAGUGUGUUUAAUGUUAAAUCUUAAAGCUCAACUUUGAAAUUGCGUUAAAAACUGCUUGUCUUGAGUAUGGUAGGGGUAAAGGGAAUUCCCAGUGUAGCGGUGAAAUGCGUAGAUAUUGGGAAGAACACUAAACAGCGAAGGCACUUUACUAGGCUAAUACUGACGCUGAGAAACGAAAGGUAAGGUAGCGAAACGGAUUAGAUACCCGUGUAGUCUUACCCGUAAACUAUGGACACUAAACGGUAAAUUUUUAAUUUACUGUUAAAGCUAACGCGUUAAGUGUCCCGCCUGGGGAGUAUGCUUGCAAAAGUGAAACUCAAGGGAAUUGACGGGGGCCCGCACAAGCGGUGGAGCAUGUGGUUUAAUUCGACGGUACACGAAGAACCUUACCAGGAUUUGACAUGCUAGAUAGUUGCUUGAAAGAGUAACGUGCCGUAAGGAAUCUAGACACAGGUGGUGCAUGGCUGUCGUCAGUUCGUGUUGUGAAAUGUUGGGUUAAGUCCCGCAACGAACGCAACCCUUGUCUUUAGUUAUUUUCUAAAGAGACUGCCUGUAAUAAACAGGAGGAAGGUAAGGAUGAGGUCAAGUCAUCAUGCCCCUUAUGUCCUGGGCUACACACGUGCUACAAUGGGAAAGACAAUGAGCUGCAAAUCUGUAAAUUUAAGCAAAUCUCUUAAACUUUCUCGUAGUUCGGAUUGUGGGCUGCAACUCGCCCACAUGAAGUUGGAAUCGCUAGUAAUCGCCAGUCAGCUAUAUGGCGGUGAAUCCGUUCCCGGGCCU